UACGUAGGGGGCAAGCGUUGUCCGGAUUUAUUGGGCGUAAAGAGCGUGUAGGCGGUUCGGUAGGUCCGUUGUGAAAACUCGAGGCUCAACCUCGAGACGCCGAUGGAAACCCUCGAACUAGAGUCCGGAAGAGGAGAGUGGAAUUCCUGGUGUAGCGGUGAAAUGCGCAGAUAUCAGGAGGAACACCAAUAGCGAAGGCAGCUCGCUGGGACGGUACUGACGCUAAGGCGCGAAAGCGUGGGGAGCGAACAGG
rnacentral:rRNA from 1 species